rnacentral:rRNA from 1 species
UACAGAGGCCCCGAGCGUUAAUCGGAAUCACUGGGCUUAAAGGGUGCGUAGGCGGGUCAGUAAGCGCUUUGUGAAAUCCCGCAGCUCAACUGUGGAACCGCAGGGCGAACUGCUGAUCUUGAGGAAGCUAGAGGCUGGUAGAACGAUAGGUGGAGCGGUGGAAUGCGUAGAGAUCUAUCGGAAUGCCGAAAGUGAAGACAGCCAGCUGGGGCUUUCCUGACGCUAAAGCACGAAAGCGUGGGGAGCAAACCGG